ensembl:lncRNA
GCUUUGAUCCCCGUGGCUCGCUCUUGUGUUUGUAGCCAUUAUUAGUAACAUCAGCUCGUGCAUGCACUUCUCCCUGCCUGCCCUUGUCUGGCUGCAAGGGAGCAGGGGCAGGAUAACAAAAGAAAGUAUAAAUAGUCUUUUUAAAAGCCUGUUAAAUAGAAGUAGACUUUUUAGGGAGGAGGGAGAAAGAAUGAGGCGUGUUACCAUAGUAACUGCCAAUGGUUUAUUUAAGAAGGGCAAAGAAACAAACACCACAAAAAGGCGAAGUCGAGAGGAGCUGGAGAUCACUGGAGGAAUCUGUCGGGACACAGACAACAUGGGGCCAGAAACUUGGUCUGAACUCCCAAAUGGACAAAUACAUUCCUCACCAAAGACACACACUGAACAGCUGUUGAAUGAACACAAAUAUUACUUGAUUGCUUGAAAUUAAAGUUGUUCUGAUGAAGAAGAGGCACUUUGUUUAACAUGAAAUUUCACCACAUGGUUUAUUUCUCAGUUCUCUUUGUAAUAGAUGUACAGAGUUUGGCCAAAGGUCAGGCAAGCUCUAGAAGGACCAUCAGUGUGUUUCACUCUCAUUUAGAAUGUGAAAUAGGUCUGGAAAAUAUUAAAGCUUCUCAGUGAAUACAAAUUCCAAUGAAUUCAUGGUUGGUCUUAUAAUAUUACUGCUAUUGUUACUUUCAUAAUGUAGCUGUUUAUUAACAUUCAUAAUGUUGCUGUUUAUAAAUUUCUGAAGUUCAGGAGUCAAGUGGUUGGGACAAGAUUCUUUUCAGUGGUGUCCAACUACAGAACAAGGGGCAAUGGGCAGAAACUGGAACACAUGGAAGAAUUUUUUUUACUGUGAGUGACAGAAUGCUGGAACAGGCUGCCCAGAGAGGUUGUAGGCUCUCCUUUUCUGGAGAUAUUUAAGACCCAUCUGGAUAUUUUCCUGUGGGACCUAUUAUAGGGAACGUAUUUCAGCAGGGGGGUUGGACUUGGUGAUCCUCAGAGGUCCCUUCCAACCGCUACAAUUCUGUGACUGUGUGAUAGCUACCCUGCUGAAAUCAGCAGCCUCAGUCAACUCACUGGUAAAAAAAAAAUUCUUUGCUCUUAUUUCUAAUGCAAGAUGUCAUGAUUGCAUCAGUUCAAAUGCUCACUUUGUCCAGUUUUGUUGAGAUGUGUGUAUGGCAAUAUGCAUGACUUGGAAAUAAUCAUGGAAGGAAAAUUCAUUUCUGAAUAUCCUCUUUGGCCAUCAAAGCAGCAGGUCUCCCAGAUAAUCACCACAGAUCAGAAAGAUGCAAAUGGUAUUCAGAUAGCUCACUUUAAGCAGAUGUACCUUGGCAGUAGAAUAGUAAAUUCCCUCCUCAAAAUGUUGACUCAGAUGAAUGCUUUUCAGAAAUAAAAUGGUGUUAAAGGUGUUUUGUUUUUUUUAAUGAUACCAAUAGGCACCAAUAUUUUUUAAAAGCUAAUCUUCAAAAAACUGAAGGUUUUUUUGAAACUUUUAGAAUAUGUGUAUGUGGUUUUUUUUUGUGACAAUUUAGAAGUUCAGAUAGCCCCACUCCUGAAAACUCUUCCAAGCAAUUUGAAGAAGAUUCAUCCUUCUGUGUUCAUCCUUCAUGUUUCUGGUGCCUAACUCCAAGACACUUUGGUUUGUUAAAAGAAUUCUAUUUUCUUCCAGAAUGUCAGCAAUGCCAGGGUGAGAUGUGUCUUUCAGUCACUUCAGCAUCAUUGAUUCAAUGACUGUAUUAUCUGCAAUUUCUUCAUGGUGUUACAUUGUAGUGCCAAAUAUUUUCACUUCAGUUAAAAUAAAAUUCUUCCAACCAAUUGUGACUUGGUGUCUGUGAUUAUAAUGACAUGAAGGGAAAUGUAAAGGACUUGUUAGACUCAGUGAUCCUUUUGGGUCCCUUCCAGCUUUUAUGAAUCUAGGGUUGUUUCACCAGGACUUUGUUGGAGCGAGAUUGGCUAACAUAUUUUCAUCUUAUUUUAGUUUUCCAAUAGCAACUGAUAAAUACCACAAGUGUGAAGCAAUGAUGAGCUCCGCAAAUCAAAAAGCAAUGCAAACGAAAGAUACUAAUAAUCUUUACAUGAUGAGAUCACAGUUUGAAUGGGAGCAUUGGCACAGCAGCAGCAACUAGCACAAAGAUGUCCCUGUCCCCAGCAAUAAACC